rnacentral:rRNA from 1 species
GAUGAACGCUGGCGGCGUGCCUAAAACAUGCAAGUCGAGCGGUAAGGCUUUGCACUUAGUGUUUGAUCGAGAUAAUUUAUUAUCACAGUUAACUAAUCGGAACCUUGGCGGGGGAAGUGAGGAAGAGGAAGAUCGAAUUAUAAGUGUAGAGUACACGAGCGGCGGACGGGUGAGUAACACGUGGGAAUCUACCCCAAACUGAGGGAUAAGCACCGGAAACGGUGUCUAAUACCGCAUAUGGUCUUCGGAUUAAAGCUUCGGCGGUUUGGGAAGAGCCCGCGCAAGAUUAGCUAGUUGGUGAGGUAAAGGCUCACCAAGGCGACGAUCUUUAGCUGGUUGAGAGGAUGAUCAGCCACACUGGAACUGAGACACGGUCCAGACUCCUACGGGAGGCAGCAGUUAGGAAUUUUCCACAAUGGGCGCAAGCCUGAUGGAGCGAACGCCGCGUGCGAGGAUGGUAAGGUUUUCGGAUUAGUAAACUGUACUUUUAAUAAGUUAGAAGAAUAUAGGACGUUAACUU